UACGUAGGGUGCAGGCGUUAAUCGGAAUUACUGGGCGUAAAGCGUGCGCAGGCGGUUUGCUAAGACAGGUGUGAAAUCCCCGGGCUUAACCUGGGAACUGCGCUUGUUACUGGCAAGCUGGAGUGUGGCAGAGGGGGGUGGAAUUCCACGUGUAGCAGUGAAAUGCGUAGAGAUGUGGAGGAACACCGAUGGCGAAGGCAGCCCCCUGGGCUAACACUGACGCUCAUGCACGAAAGCGUGGGGAGCAAACAGGGAUUAGAACUACCGU
rnacentral:rRNA from 1 species